rnacentral:lncRNA from 1 species
GGGGGGGGGGACAGCAGGGUUACUCAUAGAUGAUGUGUGUUUACUGUACGUUACUGUUACUUGCUAUUGUAUUUUGGUAUUUUGUUUCCUUUGUUCGGAUUAUUAUUUACGUUAUUUAUACUGGAAUUUCUAAUGCACUAAUGAUAUACUGCUUCUGUUUUGUUUUGUCUGUGUUUUGUUUUACUACUGUUUUUCCCUAACCCUAUGAGCCGAGGGUCGAUUGGAAACAGCCUCCCUGCCCUUUCGGGUAGGGGUAAGCUCGUCUACAUAUUACCUUCCCCAGACCCCACCUGGUGGGAAUAUACUUGGUAGUUGUUGUUGUUGUUGUAAUGGUAAGGCUCGUCUACAUGUUACCCUCCCCAGACCCCACCUGGUGGGAAUAUACUGGGUAGUUAUUGUUGUUGU